rnacentral:lncRNA from 1 species
AAGCAGAAGACAGCGAGAAGAACAAGUUGUUGGAAAAUCUGAAACUUGAGACAGAAGCUCUGAGAAUAGAAAAUGGUGAGAAAAAUAAGUUGAUGGAAAAUCUGGAACAUGAGAAAGAAUCACUGAGGAAAGGAGAUGUCGAGAAGAAUAUGUUGUUAGAAAAUCUGAAACUUGCGAAUGAGGUAUUGAGAAAAGAUGAUGGUGAGAACAAUAAGUUGUUGGAAAAUCUGAAACUUCAGAUUGAGGCAUUGAGAAAAGAAGAUAGUCAGAAGAACAAGUGGUUGGAAGACCUGAAACUUGAGAUAGAGGCACUGACAGAAGAACUCGAGGAUGCAAAAAGUUACGAAGAGAAAUUGGUGGAGAAAGAAGCUCUCCUGGAGCAGCUUAAUGUCGAUCUGGAGGCUGCUAGGAUGGCUGAAUCUUAUGCACAUAAUCUAGUAGAGGAAUGUCAGAGGAAGAUUGAGGAAUUGGAGGCACAGU